UUUUUUUUACCCCAAAAAAACAGUUUUGAGGUAGUGACGAGAAAUAACAAUACAGGGCCUUCUAUGCUCUGUAAUUGGAAUGAUGGGAAUGUAAAACCCUUCCAGAGUAACGAUUGGAGGGCAAGUCUGGUGCCAGCAGCCGGGGUAAUUCCAGGUCCAAUAGUGUAUAUUAGAGUUGUUGCAGUUAAAAAGCUCGUAGUUGGAUUUCUGCUGUGGUCAUCCGGUACCGCCCGUAUGGGUGCGCACCUGGUUUGGCUGCGGCUUUCUUCCUGUAGCCGUCCACGCUUAAUUGCGUGUGUUUGCGUUACGGAACUUUUACUUUGAAAAAAAUAAAGUGUUUCAAGCAGGCUUGUCCCCCUGAAUACUUCAGCAGGGAAUAAUAGGAUAGGACCUUGGUUCUAUUUUGUUGGUUUCUAGGACCAAGGUAAUGAUUAAAAGGGACAGUUGGGGGCAUUCGUAUUUAACUGUCAAAGGUGAAAUUCUUAAAUUUGUUAAAGACAAACUACGGCGAAAGCAUUUGCCAAGGAUGUUUUCAUUAAUCAAAAACGACGGUAGGGGGUUUGAAAACAAUUAAAUACCGUCGUAAUCUCUACCAUAAACUAUGCCGACAAAAGAUAGGGAAACGCCUACCUUGGGUUUUCCCCCGGGAGAAC
rnacentral:rRNA from 1 species